AUUGAACGCUGGCGGAAUGCUUUACACAUGCAAGUCGAGCGGCAGCGCGGGGGCAACCCUGGCGGCGAGCGGCGAACGGGUGAGUAACAUAUCGGAACGUACCCCGUCGUGGGGGAUAACACAGCGAAAGCUGUGCUAAUACCGCAUACGACCUGAGGGUGAAAGCGGGGGAUCGCAAGACCUCGCGCGAUGGGAGCGGCCGAUAUCGGAUUAGCUUGUUGGUGAGGUAAAGGCUCACCAAGGCGACGAUCCGUAGCUGGUCUGAGAGGACGACCAGCCACACUGGAACUGAGACACGGUCCAGACUCCUACGGGAGGCAGCAGUGGGGAAUUUUGGACAAUGGGGGCAACCCUGAUCCAGCCAUUCCGCGUGAGUGAAGAAGGCCUCGGUUGUAAGACGUCUUUCUAG
rnacentral:rRNA from 1 species